UCUUUUUCUUUAUAAAUUACCCAGUCUCGGGUAUUUCUUCACAGAAGUAUGGGAAUGGAGUAAUAUGUUUUAUUUCUUCUUUCUCUGAUUCUCCUUAUUGAGGGUCUAACAUUUCCCCCCAGGUCAGAACAGAGAGUUGCAGUGGCCAUUUCUCCAAAAAGGAGACUGAAUGGGGCCCUUUAUGAAUAUGAACAAUGAGGCCUCCCAGGAAGAAUUGCUGCACGGGUGGGGGCAACGUAAGAAAUGAGGCAGCAGCUCUGGAUUUACAGAGGGGCAAAAGCAGACAGAUCUGCCUUCAAAUCCUGACUUGCUUCUGACAUAGCCUCUAACCUGCACCUUUACCCUUUAGAAAACAAGGAUCCCUUGAAGGAUCGUCAUGAAGAUUCAAGGAAAUAUGGCACAUGGUAAGCACCCAAGAAAUCCUAGUAGUUUGUGAUACGAUUUGUAUUCAGUCACUUGGUCAAGGUGCUUUCUGUGGACUACUAGAAACGGAGCAUUAACUUUUGGCCAGGAUCUCCAUUAUCUCCCUGCCUCUCUACCUCUGUGCCUCCUUCCCUCUCUUCCUCCUUCUCUCUCUUCUUUCCUUCCUCCCUUCCCCUCUUUCCUCUCUUUCCUUCUCCCUUUUUCUUUUUGCCUCCCUCCAUCUCCCUGUCAUCCUCCAUCUCCCUCCGUCUCUCCCUCUCUUCCUUCCAUCCUUCCCUUCCAUUCUGCUUAGUACUAGACAACCCACAGAGUCCCUUGUCCACAAUAUUAAGCAAUAAGCAUUAGGUCUCAGUGUUCCUCAUGCCACAUCUCUCAGAUGAAUGGGUCAGAGCCCUUCCCAGGUCCUGACCGGUUGUCACUGGUGUGGGUGUGCUCUGAUCAGCUUCAUCUCCUCUACAACAGCCCACUGCCUUGCCUGUCCUAGGUUCUGACCGCCAGAUCAACAACCUAAGACUUCUGUUCCCUUGGAGAAAGACUCACUUAAUGGAAAGGCAGCUCCACCAGCAGUACAAAUUGAACAUCCUCAUCCUGAGCCCCAAAGGUCCAUACUAGAAAAGGAGGAAGUUUAGCUCACCCUCUUAAAUUACCAGGUGAUCAUUUGCAAACAAAACUCCCUCAUAAAACACUUCUUUAAACUCUUUACUUGAUCAUAAACCCUAACCUAACACACAUCAGCCCUGGGAUGAAGUAAGCAUUAGAAUUACCCAAGUUUUAUGGAGCAGAGUGAGAGCCAGAUGACAGAGUAUCAGCCAACAGAUUCUAACAGUCACAGAAUCAAAAAAGAUUUAUUGAGAACCUACUAUGUGCCAGAUUCGUAAGAUGCUUCAGUGUAUGUGAUCUCAUUACCUCAUCUCAUUUUUCUCUACUAUGCAUCCUGAUAAGCCAUAUCCUACUCAAAACAAUACAAAUGACCAGUUACAUGUUUAUCAAUAAUGACAGCUACUCAGCACAACUGGACAAUGCUGGAUAGCUGCUGCUUCUGUGAAUUUAAAGAAAAAUUUUGCUGCGAGGCAUGGAAAUAUCUCCAGUCUAUAUAAAUUAGCAGUUGGACACCCUAGGUUUCAAGGGUUAUCCUUUUUAACCAGCCUGGCAAUUCAUUAAGCAUCGGGUAAGAAUUUCUUCUAUUGCUUUUUACCACGGAUGGACAAUGCCUACCUAUACCUGCAAGGGCACCUCCAACAUGCGCAGUGCACCUAAAAUAGCCCUGCGUUAAGAAAAAUGCCAAGCUCAAGUGUAUAAUUCCUCAGUGCUGCCUGUUUAUUUUCUUUCGCGUUUUCACUCUGGCAUGCCAACCCCAAAUCUCCUACAGUAACACAGAAUUGCAGUGGGAUACGGAUCUGACAUGAAACAAAGACCUGCCCCUGCCUCAGCAAAGGCAAAUAAAACAAAAGAUCAAUGAGCCUCAAAGCCAGUGUGCAUAAAUGUCACUGCGCCUGCAAAGAGGAGAGAUCAGAGGACAUUUACAAAAUCACAGUCCUCCCACGGUGGUGGGAAAAGGUUACUGUAGUAUGUCCUAAGGGGUGAACAGCGUGCCCAAGGGAAACAGUAAGGACAGGGCAAGACCCAGGAAAGCAACAAAAAUUUAGAUGUUGUCUAUGUGGCUGCCCCAGUGCCCGCUGCCUCGUUUCUCAGAGCUAAUCAAGGGAAGCGUAACUAGUCCAGGCGGCAGGACGAGUUUACAACAACUGACAUUCAUCUGCUCCUGCCUCCGCUAAGGGCGACUUGGAGACGGACCUCUGAUCUCCCGGUUCCACUUCAGUGAGCGCUCAGCACGGCGGCUGUCAUUUGCAGACACUGAAGAGUGCGCUAAUAGAAUCACAGCCCUCGUUAGCUACUGAAUAAAAGAUCAAUCACAGACUUUGAAAGCUCCUGCUACCAGCUUCCAGAGGAAACAAGAAAAAAAAAAAAGAGCGUGAGCAAGAGAGAAAGAUAUUUAGGAUCAUCGCUGAGAUUCUGAAUGGCCUCGCUGCAAGUUGCUUAAAUUACCUUUUCCACAACUGACUCCAACUGUAAUACUCAGAGGAACUUGUUAAGCCUGCCUUCAAGAGCAGCAUUCUAAUAUAUGACUGCUAGACCCUGGUCAAAAGUUCAUAAUGUGCAUAUGUAAAAAGGUACUAAAUUGCCUGAGGGCUAAAACCAGAGGAGUUUAAUUGUAGCAAAAUGCUGAAAAUGGUCUGUUGAGGGUCCUUCCAUUGGGAUACUGCUGGCUCUAGCUGAUUGAAGUACAGAACAUAAAAGUCUUACAACAAUAUUUCCUUAAAUGCUGGGGAAACUGCCAGCAGUUGGUAUUGCAUGAAUGUUGUGGUUAAAGAAAAACAUUUUCCUCCCCUAAAAUAAAUAGAGUAUUAAAAACUGCUCCAGCCCAUAAUUCUAAAGCAUGACGGGAAAAGGGAGGGCUCGACGAUCAUAAAUAAGGUAUAAUUCAUAGGGCAUGUCCAAUCGACUUGCAGUGUAUUUUUACAUGGGGCACAUUGAAGGUAUUCAGGCG
rnacentral:lncRNA from 10 species